rnacentral:misc_RNA from 1 species
UACGAAGGGGGCUAGCGUUGUUCGGAAUCACUGGGCGUAAAGCGCACGCAGGCGGCCAUUCGAGUCAGGGGUGAAAGCCCGGGGCUCAACCUCGGAACUGCCUUUGAUACUGGAUGGCUUGAGUGCGGGAGAGGGUGGUGGAAUACCCAGUGUAGAGGUGAAAUUCGUAGAUAUUGGGUGGAACACCGGUGGCGAAGGCGGCCACCUGGCCCGCAACUGACGCUGAGGUGCGAAAGCGUGGGGAGCAAACAGG